GACGAACGCUGGCGGCGUGCUUAACACAUGCAAGUCGAACGAGAGCGUAGAGAAAGCUUGCUUUUUCUCCAAUCUAGUGGCAAACGGGUGAGUAACGCGUAAACAACCUGCCCUACGGAUGGGGACAACAGCUGGAAACGGCUGCUAAUACCGAAUACGUUCCGAAAGUCGCAUGACUAUCGGAAGAAAGGAUGGCCUCUAUUUAUAAGCUAUCGCCGGAGGAGGGGUUUGCGUCUGAUUAGCUAGUUGGAGGGGUAACGGCCCACCAAGGCGACGAUCAGUAGCCGGUCUGAGAGGAUGAACGGCCACAUUGGAACUGAGACACGGUCCAGACUCCUACGGGAGGCAGCAGUGGGGAAUCUUCCGCAAUAGGCGAAAGCCUGACGGAGCAACGCCGCGUGAGUGAAGACGGCCUUCGGGUUGUAAAGCUCUGUUAUACGGGACGAAUAAUCUUGUGGUUAAUACCCAUGAGAAGUGACGGUACCGUAAGAGAAAGCCACGGCUAACUACGUG
rnacentral:rRNA from 1 species